rnacentral:rRNA from 1 species
AAUAGAUACCCGGGUAGUCCACGCCGUAAACGAUGAGUGCUAAGUGUUAGAGGGUUUCCGCCCUUUAGUGCUGCAGCUAACGCAUUAAGCACUCCGCCUGGGGAGUACGGUCGCAAGACUGAAACUCAAAGGAAUUGACGGGGGCCCGCACAAGCGGUGGAGCAUGUGGUUUAAUUCGAAGCAACGCGAAGAACCUUACCAGGUCUUGACAUCCUCUGACAACUCUAGAGAUAGAGUGUUCCCCUUCGGGGGACAGAGUGACAGGUGGUGCAUGGUUGUCGUCAGCUCGUGUCGUGAGAUGUUGGGUUAAGUCCCGCAACGAGCGCAACCCUUGAUCUUAGUUGCCAGCAUUUAGUUGGGCACUCUAAGGUGACUGCCGGUGACAAACCGGAGGAAGGUGGGGAUGACGUCAAAUCAUCAUGCCCCUUAUGACCUGGGCUACACACGUGCUACAAUGGAUGGUACAAAGGGCUGCAAGACCGCGAGGUCAAGCCAAUCCCAUAAAACCAUUCUCAGUUCGGA